GCGGAAAUAGCUCAGUGGUAGAGCGUCUCGUUGCCAACGAGAAGGUCGCGAGUUCAAAUCUCGUUUUCCGCUCCA
rnacentral:tRNA from 1 species